rnacentral:lncRNA from 1 species
GAGAGAGAGAGAGUUCAUCUAUCCAUGCUGAUUUACUUUUAAUACAUAUGCACAAAACCUCAAGAAGAACCAGGAGUAUGAGGUAGCGAUUCAAACAAAAUGUCAGGCGAAACUCGUUCUAGCUUCUAUCUUGCAGGUUAUUGGGAUGAUCCAUAGUUUCAUCAAAAUGGGAGGAAAAAAAAAUGAAAAGAAAAAUGGUACUGAGUGGCUCAGCACCAUACGCUGAAUGUCUUCCAUCAGUGGAACGCAGUCUUGAACCUGCUUUUGGCCUGAAACAUGGUAAUGUAGCAUCUUUUGUAGCUUCUACCAACUCAAGAUUUUGCAUGUCUUUUGUUAUUCAUUCAACUGAACUAAAAACAUGUUCGAUUAAAAAGAAAAUAAGUAUCCAGGCAUGGGAUUGGCAAUAAAACUGAAAUCCUAUUUCUACAAUUUAGUCCAUGUACCAAGUAACCAAGUUUGUUAAAUAUUUGAAGUGUAAUUCUGUUUUUACUUUAAUUGCGGUACUUUAUAGAUUUAACAAUUCAUGACAUGUAGAUACAUUUAAGUGCACAUGUAUGCCUAUCAGAUGCUUCAGC